ACGAGUGGCGCACGGGUGCGUAACGCGUAUGCAACUUACCCUUAACUGGAGAAUAGCCUUUCGAAAGGAAGAAUAAUACUCCAUAGUAUUUCUCCUCGGCAUCGAGGAGUUCUUAAAGCUUUGGCGGUUAAGGAUAGGCAUGCGUUCUAUUAGUUAGUUGGUGAGGUAACGGCUCACCAAGACCGCGAUAGAUAGGGGGCCUGAGAGGGUUAUCCCCCCACACUGGUACUGAGACACGGACCAG
rnacentral:rRNA from 1 species